CAGUGUUCCUGCCCUCACGGGUAGAAACCCCACCCUUGUGUAUUAUAUCUUUGUUGCUUUGGCAGGCCGCCUUCGGGCACCGGCUCACGCUGGAUCGUGCCUGCCAGAGGACCUAAACUCUGUUUGUCUAUACUGUCUGAGUACUAUAUAAUAGUUA
rnacentral:misc_RNA from 1 species